rnacentral:rRNA from 1 species
GACCUCUAAUCGGAAAAGACUACCCGCUGAGUUUAAGCAUAUCACUAAGCGGAGGAGAAGAAACUAACCAGGAUUUCCCUAGUAACGGCGAGCGAACCGGAAAGAGCCCAGCUUGUAAAUCGUGGUGCCUCGCACCUCGAGUUGUAGUCUGGAGAAGGUCCCUCUGCGGCGCGCCGGACCCAAGUUCCCUGGAAAGGGACGUCAUCGAGGGUGACAACCCCGUCCGCGCCCGGAACGCGUCGCUCCACGAGGACCUGUCUGCGAGUCGGGCUGUUUGGGAAUGCAGCCCUAAGUGGGAGGUAAAUUCCUUCCAAGGCUAAAUAUGGGCAAGAGACCGA